CCGCGGUAAUACGUAGGGUGCGAGCGUUGUCCGGAAUUACUGGGCGUAAAGAGCUCGUAGGUGGUCUGUCGCGUCAUUUGUGAAAGCCCGGGGCUUAACUCCGGGUUGGCAGGUGAUACGGGCAUGACUGGAGUACUGUAGGGGAGACUGGAAUUCCUGGUGUAGCGGUGAAAUGCGCAGAUAUCAGGAGGAACACCGGUGGCGAAGGCGGGUCUCUGGGCAGUAACUGACGCUGAGGAGCGAAAGCAUGGGUAGCGAACAGGAUUAGAUACCCUGGUAGUCCAUGCCGUAAACGGUGGGCGCUAGGUGUGGGUUUCCUUCCACGGGAUCCGUGCCGUAGCUAACGCAUUAAGCGCCCCGCCUGGGGAGUACGGCCGCAAGGCUAAAACUCAAAGGAAUUGACGGGGGCCCGCACAAGCGGCGGAGCAUGUGGAUUAAUUCGAUGCAACGCGAAGAACCUUACCUGGGCUUGACAUGCACUGGAUGCGGCCAGAGAUGGUUGUUCCCUUUGUGGCUGGUGUGCAGGUGGUGCAUGGUUGUCGUCAGCUCAUGUCGUGAGAUGUUGGGUUAAGUCCCGCAACGAGCGCAACCCUUGUCUCGUGUUGCCAGCAUUUGGUUGGGGACUCGCGGGAGACUGCCGGGGUUAACUCGGAGGAAGGUGGGGAUGACGUCAAAUCAUCAUGCCCCUUAUGUCCAGGGCUUCACACAUGCUACAAUGGCUGGUACAGAGAGUUGCGAUACCGUGAGGUGGGGCUAAUCUCGUAAAGCCAGUCUCAGUUCGGAUUGGAGUCUGCAACUCGACUCCAUGAAGUCGGAGUCGCUAGUAAUAGCAGAUCAGCAAUGCUGCGGUGAAUACGUUCCCGGGCCUUGUACUCACCGCCCGU
rnacentral:rRNA from 1 species